rnacentral:rRNA from 1 species
AGUGAACGCUGGCGGUAGGCCUAACACAUGCAAGUCGAACGGCAGCACAGUAAGAGCUUGCUCUUACGGGUGGCGAGUGGCGGACGGGUGAGGAAUACAUCGGAAUCUACUUUUUCGUGGGGGAUAACGUAGGGAAACUUACGCUAAUACCGCAUACGACCUACGGGUGAAAGCAGGGGAUCUUCGGACCUUGCGCGAUUGAAUGAGCCGAUGUCGGAUUAGCUAGUUGGCGGGUUAAAGGCCAACCAAGGCGACGAUCCGUAGCUGGUCUGAGAGGAUGGUCAGCCACACUGGAACGUAGACACGGUCAUGAGGCCUAAGGUAGGCAGCAGUGUGGAAUAUUAGACAAUGGGCGCGAGCCUGAUCCAGCCAUACCGCGUGGGUGGAGAAGGCCUUCGGGUUGUAAAGCCCUUUUUUUGGGAAAGAAAAGCAGCCGGUUAAUACCCCGCUGUUCUGACGGUACCCAAAGAAUAAGCACCGGCUAACUUCGUG